GAUAAACGCUGGCGGCGUGCCUAACACAUGCAAGUCGAACGAUCCCGCAAGGGAGAGUGGCGGAAGGGUGAGUAACACGUGGGAAUCUACCUCCUCGCAGGGAACAACCUCUCGAAAGAGAGGCUAAUACCCAAAAGGGUCAGUAAUGAUCAGAGUCGAAAGGCGUGAGGAGAGGAGCCCGCGGCCCAUCAGCUAGUUGGUGAGGUAAUGGCUUACCAAGGCUACGACGGGUAGGGGAUCUGAGAGGAUGUCCCCCACACUGGAACUGAAACACGGUCCAGACGCCUACGGGUGGCAGCAGUGAGGAAUAUUGGACAAUGGGCGAAAGCCCGAUCCAGCAACGCCGCGUGGAGGAUGAAGGCCUUCGGGUCGUAAACUUCUUUAGAGGGAGACGAGAAAGGACGGUAUCCCUAGAAUAAGCGACGGCAAACUACGUGCCAGCAGCCGCGGUAAU
rnacentral:rRNA from 1 species